UGUGUCAGGAGGCAUUGCCAGCCCCAAAUGAGAAGAUCCAUGGUUUCAUCAGAGACAGGUAAUGUGUAGCCCUCUGCAUUUACCAGGUGGAUGAGGAACAUUUGCUGGCGCCAGUAUGAAGUGAGCGUGGUUCUCUGUACCUACCAUUGGCCACACAAAGAGGAUGGUAGAGAGCUGGCUUCAAUAACAACCUUGGACUUGGACAUAUCACCUCCUCCCACGUUAGUUGUUUGGGCAGCAUCACGCCGGCAGUUCCUAUCAGAGAAAAAGGCUUGUGGUAUUCAUAGUACACAAGUCAGCUGGUGUUGGUAAGUCUCCCUAAGUGAGACACUGACUAGAGAAGAGGCUCAUGUCUCCACCCAAAGGAUGAUUAAAUUUGAUGUGACAACAAACCUGUUGGAAACGGUCCACAGCACUUCAGGACACG